CUACGGGCGGCACCAGUGGGGAAUAUUGGACAAUGGGGGAAACCCUGAUCCAGCAAUGCCGCGUGUGUGAAGAAGGCCUGCGGGUUGUAAAGCACUUUCGGUUGGGAGGACUGCUUCUAGCACUAAUAUUGUUGGAAGUUGACGUUACCUUCAGAAGAAGCACCGGCUAACUCCGUGCCAGCAGCCACGGUAAUACGGAGGGUGCAAGCGUUAAUCGGAAUUACUGGGCGUAAAGCGCGCGUAGGCGGCUAGAUCAGUCGGGUGUGAAAGCCCCGGGCUUAACCUGGGAACUGCAUCCGAUACUGUCUAGCUUGAGUACAGGAGAGGAGAGUGGAAUUCCACAUGUAGCGGUGAUAUGCGUAGAUAUGUGGAGGAACACCAAUGGCGAAGGCAGCUCUCUGGCCUGAUACUGACGCUGAGGUGCGAAAGCGUGGGGAGCAAACAGGAUUAGAUACCCGUGUAGUC
rnacentral:rRNA from 1 species